GCCGGGCAUGGUGGCUCAAGCUUGUAAUCCUAGUGGCUAGGGAGGCUGAGGCAGGAGGAUCACGGGUUCAAAGCCAGCCUCAGCAAUUUAGCAAGGUGCUAAGCAACUCAGUGAGACCCUGUCUCUA
rnacentral:sRNA from 1 species